rnacentral:lncRNA from 1 species
UGGCGGGAUGAAUCGGGACGGGGAGAGGAGGAGUUUGCACUUAGGGUGGAUGGAGAGGAUAGUUAGAGGAAAACCGAGAGAAAUUGGAAGAAGUGAUUUGAGAAAUAAAGUAGGGAGUAGGAGUAAUAGGAGAGCAGGAAGGCCGCUUGCUUUAUAUGAUGGCUGCUGCUGCUUGCUGUCUUGAUCGAUAUGUCGAUGCUUGCUGUUUAAAUCAUCACCACACGGGAGGUCGAGCGGCUUGGACGGAUGGAAGUGAUAAACGUUAUCAUUGCUACAUGUUCUUCAUUAUUCAUGAUUAUAUUGAGAAUCACUUCAUGAAUUCAGCAAAAAAAGUUAAAAGAAAACACUCGCACGUGACUUUUCAAGUGUGAUGUAUGUGAGAACACUGAUAACCUGGAGGUAGAGAGCAAAAGAUUUGAGCAUGUGUCACUUUCUCUUUACACGAGAUAUAGAAAUAAGACAUGUGCAAAAAAGAAAAAGACCAGAGUAU